rnacentral:sRNA from 1 species
AGUGGUGCUGGGAGUGUCGUGGACGCCGUGCCGUUACUCGUAGUCAGGCGGCGGCGCAGGCGGCGGCGGCGGCAUAGCGCACAGCGCGCCUUAGCAGCAGCAGCAGCAGCAGCAGCAUCGGAGGUACCCCCGCCGUCGCAGCCCCCGCGCUGGUGCAGCCACCCUCGCUCCCUCUGCUCUUCCUCCCUUCGCUCGCACCAUGGCUGAUCAGCUGACCGAAGAACAGAUUGCUGAAUUCAAGGAAGCCUUCUCCCUAUUUGAUAAAGAUGGCGAUGGCACCAUCACAACAAAGGAACUUGGAACUGUCAUGAGGUCACUGGGUCAGAACCCAACAGAAGCUGAAUUGCAGGAUAUGAUCAAUGAAGUGGAUGCUGAUGGUAAUGGCACCAUUGACUUCCCCGAAUUUUUGACUAUGAUGGCUAGAAAAAUGAAAGAUACAGAUAGUGAAGAAGAAAUCCGUGAGGCAUUCCGAGUCUUUGACAAGGUAAUCCAGCAUCUACAUAGCAGAUGGUACUUAAGUAUGGCUUCUUCCGCUUUCACUUCUAAAAGCUAUAAUAAUGUUAUAGACAGAAAACUUU